rnacentral:misc_RNA from 1 species
UAAUAGUGGCACGUGUCUUGACUGCCGUAGGAAUGUCCCUCUCAGUCAGCCAGCCUCAGUGCCACCCGGGCUUUCGUGACAAGAGGACGUGUUGUUGCUGCUGGUUUGCUCUCGUGCCUGACUCUACCCCUACGAGAAGUCAUGUUCAACUUUAAAGAAGAAAUAUCACCACAACCUGCCUGGAUUUUAGAACAGCAGGUUAGCAGGUCAAGGAAGGUCAAGGCAGCUCGGCCUCCCAGCUUUCGUGGAUGUCAUCAAUGCCACAGAAUUAACCACAACUGUUGUUUUCGUGUUCCGCGUUGCUGUCUCGCUCACUGAAGUGUUUGGGCCUAAGGAGGAGAAGGGCGAGGGAAGGGAGGAGGAAGAGGAGGGAGACGCGAUGGAAGAAAGCAGGUCCCUCAGCUUGUGGUAUGAGAGGAACCUAGCAGAGGACCAGCUGGCAUUAUUUUACCACCUGGAGACGUCCUUGACAGUGGCGGGCGUGGACGGGCGGGCGUGUAUGCUGAGGGCGGUGUGUGAGGGACAGAGUAAGCGGCUUAUUGCUCUUAACCUCUUGGGACACCUGCUCACCGCCUUCCUCACGCCACAAGACAAGACCCUCCUAAAGCCGUACUGGGAGGCUGCCGAAGUGGGGCGGGCCGGGACGAGGGGCGGCCGAUGCGCUAAACACUACCCAGGAUGUCCAGUCUCGCUCCUCGACAUCUUCAAGCUUGCCAGACGUAACCCUAUGAUGCCCACACACUGAAGCGGUCCAUCAUCGUCAGCAGCAGCGGCGGUGGUGGUGGUGGUGGUGGUGGUGGUUGUUCUGUGUUUUGUACGGGACCUGUUGUUGUUGUUGUUGUUAUUUUUUUUUUUUUUUUGUGUGUUUGUGUUUUGG